UGAAACUCAAAGGAAUGACGGGGACCCCGCACAAGCGGUGGAGCAUGUGGUUUAAUUCGAAGCAACGCGAAGAACCUUACCUGGCCUUGACAUCCCGAUGACAUCAGGGUAAUGCCUGGUUCCCUUCGGGGCAUUGGAGACAGGUGGUGCAUGGUUGUCGUCAGCUCGUGUCGUGAGAUGUUGGGUUAAGUCCCGCAACGAGCGCAACCCUUACCUUCAGUAGCCAGCAUUUAAGGUGGGCACUCUGGAGGGACUGCCAGGGACAACCUGGAGGAAGGUGGGGAUGACGUCAAAUCAUCAUGCCCCUUAUGGCCAGGGCUACACACGUGCUACAAUGGCGUAAACAGAGGGAAGCGACCACGCGAGUGUGAGCAAAUCUCAAAAAUAACGUCUCAGUUCGGAUUGUAGUCUGCAACUCGACUACAUGAAGCUGGAAUCGCUAGUAAUCGCGGAUCAGAAUGCCGCGGUGAAUACGUUCCCGGGUCUUGUACACACCGCCCGUCACACCAUGGGAGUUGGAAACGCCCGAAGCCGGUGACCCAACCUAAACAGGAGGGAGCCGUCGAAGGCGGGUCCGAUGACUGGGGUGAAGUCGUAACAAGGUAACCGU
rnacentral:rRNA from 1 species